AUUGAACGCUGGCGGCAGGCCUAACACAUGCAAGUCGAACGAGUGGCGGACGGGUGAGUAAUGUCUGGGAAACUGCCUGAUGGAGGGGGAUAACUACUGGAAACGGUAGCUAAUACCGCAUACCAUCGGAUGUGCACAGAGGGGCUAAGCUAGGAGUGGGGGUAACUGCUCACCUAGGCGACGAUCCCUAGCUGGUCUGUGAGGAUGACCAGCCACACUGGAACGCAGACACGGUCCAGAAUCCUACGGGAGGCAGCAGUGGGGAAUAUUGCACAAGGGGCGCAAGCCUGAUGCAGCCCUGCCGCGUGUGUGAAGAAGGCCUUCGGGUUGUAAAGCACUUUCAGCGGGGAGGCGUUACCCGCAGAAGAAGCACCGGCUAACUCCGUGCCAGCAGCCGCGGUAAUUC
rnacentral:rRNA from 1 species